UGCUGGAGGCUUGCUGAAGGCUGUAUGCUGUUAAUGCUAAUUGUGAUAGGGGUUUUGGCCUCUGACUGACUCCUACCUGUUAGCAUUAACAGGAUACAGUGCCUGUUACUAGCAUUCACGU
rnacentral:pre_miRNA from 14 species